CGGGCGAGGGCGGCGGCACGGGCACGGGUGGCGCUCCGGUCGUCGCGCGCAUCGCGCGCUCGCUCGGUGCGCUGACGAUCGGUGUCGUCACGCGCCCGU
rnacentral:tRNA from 1 species